rnacentral:rRNA from 2 species
AGAGUUUGAUCAUGGCUCAGGACGAACGCUGGCGGCGUGCCUAACACAUGCAAGUCGAGCGAAGUGACUCGGAGAGAAGUUUUCGGAUGGAUCGAAGAGUCAUCUUAGCGGCGGACGGGUGAGUAACGCGUGAGAAACCUGCCUUUCACAAAGGGAUAGCCUCGGGAAACUGGGAUUAAUACCUUAUGAAACUGAAUUACCGCAUGGUAGAUCAGUCAAAGCGAAUAAGCGGUGAAAGAUGGUCUCGCGUCCUAUUAGCUAGUUGGUGAGGUAACGGCUCACCAAGGCUUCGAUAGGUAGCCGGCCUGAGAGGGUGAACGGCCACACUGGAACUGAGACACGGUCCAGACUCCUACGGGAGGCAGCAGUGGGGAAUAUUGCACAAUGGAGGAAACUCUGAUGCAGCGACGCCGCGUGAAUGAUGAAGGCCUUCGGGUUGUAAAGUUCUGUCCUUGGGGAAGAUAAUGACGGUACCCAAGGAGGAAGCCCCGGCUAACUACGUGCCAGCAGCCGCGGUAAUACGUAGGGGGCGAGCGUUGUCCGGAAUUAUUGGGCGUAAAGGGUUCGCAGGCGGUCUGAUAAGUCAGAUGUGAAAGGCGUAGGCUCAACCUACGUAAGCAUUUGAAACUGUCAGACUUGAGUUAAGGAGAGGAAAGUGGAAUUCCUAGUGUAGCGGUGAAAUGCGUAGAUAUUAGGAGGAAUACCAGUGGCGAAGGCGACUUUCUGGACUUAUACUGACGCUGAGGAACGAAAGCGUGGGGAGCAAACAGGAUUAGAUACCCUGGUAGUCCACGCCGUAAACGAUGAGUGCUAGGUGUUGGGGGUCAAACCUCGGUGCCGCAGCUAACGCAUUAAGCACUCCGCCUGGGGAGUACGUACGCAAGUAUGAAACUCAAAUGAAUUGACGG